CUUGCUGGGUGGAUUAGUGGCGAACGGGUGAGUAACACGUGAGUAACCUGCCCCUGACUCUGGGAUAAGCGUUGGAAACGACGUCUAAUACUGGAUAUGAUCACUGGCCGCAUGGUCUGGUGGUGGAAAGAUUUUUUGGUUGGGGAUGGACUCGCGGCCUAUCAGCUUGUUGGUGAGGUAAUGGCUCACCAAGGCGACGACGGGUAGCCGGCCUGAGAGGGUGACCGGCCACACUGGGACUGAGACACGGCCCAGACUCCUACGGGAGGCAGCAGUGGGGAAUAUUGCACAAUGGGCGAAAGCCUGAUGCAGCAACGCCGCGUGAGGGAUGACGGCCUUCGGGUUGUAAACCUCUUUUAGUAGGGAAGAAGCGAAAGUGACGGUACCUGCAGAAAAAGCACCGGCUAACUACGUGCCAGCAGCCGCGGUAAUACGUAGGGUGCAAGCGUUGUCCGGAAUUAUUGGGCGUAAAGAGCUCGUAGGCGGUUUGUCGCGUCUGCUGUGAAAUCCCGAGGCUCAACCUCGGGCUUGCAGUGGGUACGGGCAGACUAGAGUGCGGUAGGGGAGAUUGGAAUUCCUGGUGUAGCGGUGGAAUGCGCAGAUAUCAGGAGGAACACCGAUGGCGAAGGCAGAUCUCUGGGCCGUAACUGACGCUGAGGAGCGAAAGCAUGGGGAGCGAACAGGAUUAGAUACCCUGGUAGUCCAUGCCGUAAACGUUGGGCGCUAGAUGUAGGGACCUUUCCACGGUUUCUGUGUCGUAGCUAACGCAUUAAGCGCCCCGCCUGGGGAGUACGGCCGCAAGGCUAAAACUCAAAGGAAUUGACGGGGGCCCGCACAAGCGGCGGAGCAUGCGGAUUAAUUCGAUGCAACGCGAAGAACCUUACCAAGGCUUGACAUACACCGGAAACGGCCAGAGAUGGUCGCCCCCUUGUGGUCGGUGUACAGGUGGUGCAUGGUUGUCGUCAGCUCGUGUCGUGAGAUGUUGGGUUAAGUCCCGCAACGAGCGCAACCCUCGUUCUAUGUUGCCAGCGGGUUAUGCCGGGGACUC
rnacentral:rRNA from 1 species